ACUUGCAAUUGUUAUAUCAGUACAUGAGCGAGAUAUUUAAACAAGAAAUGAGCCAGUAGAGCCUGAUUGAGAUCUUCAUUGUUGGAGAAAACUUGGAAUUUGAUACUUGAACUUGCUAAAGUCACUUUGAAGAUACCCAUGAUGUUGAAUUUAGUCUUCUGUCCCCGUUUAUGUAGGUUGUUCAACAUUCUAGGCUUUUUGGCAGGAAUGAAGAAGUGACAAGUGAAGCUGAUGAAUGGAGAUGUUCAGUACUUGAGACAAGCUGGGAAAUCAAGUUUCAUUAUCACUGCAGAACUCGCUGCAGCAAACAAGUAGUCCCCAAAACAUUGUUGUAGUAAAUGGUUUGCGUCCUGUGUCUUAUUGUGUUUCUUUUAGAUUCUCUUGAUGUAUUCAUAUUCAGAUGAUCAUUCGAUGACUUUCGUUUCUGAAGGCAAUACUAGCGAGCGCUUUUGCUAAGAAAGACUACAAAAGAGCUGCAGCUACAGCUUCUCGUGUACUGCAGGUACUGCAUAUUUUGUUUAAGUUUGUGGAAGCCUAUGUGCCCUGCAGGACUAAAUCUUGUGACAGUUGUGGAAGCCUAUGAGCCUUAUAUAUAUAUAUAUAUAUUGUCUUUGAUGUUUGUAGUUUAGGAUUCUCAAACAUUGGAUUUGAUGUUUGUAGUAUUUUACCUCUGCUGUUAAUGUGAUUGUUGCCUACAUGAAUAAUUCUUGGUUAUAGGAUAGCCACUAGUCAGUGUCUCAAACUUUGGUUUUGUGAUUCUAAAUGCUCUUUCUAUUGUAAUAUGUUUUAUGUUUUGUA